rnacentral:siRNA from 1 species
CUAAUUGGUUUACCUGAUAGUCA